rnacentral:sRNA from 1 species
CUUGGUCAUUUAGAGGAAGUAAAAGUCGUAACAAGGUUUCCGUAGGUGAACCUGCGGAAGGAUCAUUCAUAAUAAGUGUUUUAUGGCACUUUUUAAAUCCAUAUCCACCUUGUGUGCAAUGUCAGUCGAUCUUCUUCAUGGAGAUCGACCAAACAUCAACCUUUAUUUUUUAACUCUUUGUCUGAAAAAUAUUAUGAAUAAACAAUUCAAAAUACAACUUUCAACAACGGAUCUCUUGGCUCUCGCAUCGAUGAAGAACGCAGCGAAAUGCGAUACGUAAUGUGAAUUGCAGAAUUCAGUGAAUCAUCGAAUCUUUGAACGCAUAUUGCGCUCUUUGGUAUUCCGAAGAGCAUGCUUGUUUGAGUAUCAGUAAACACCUCAAAGCUUUUGGAUUUUUUAAUCGAAAAGCUUUGGACUUGAGCAAUCCCAACACCAAUCUUUUUGAGAUCGGUGGCGGGUUGCUUGAAAUGCAGGUGCAGCUGGACAUUCUCCUGAGCUAAAAGCAUAUUCAUUUAGUCCCGUCAAACGGAUUAUUACUUUUGCUGCAGCUAACAUAAAGGGAGUUUGACCGUAUUGGCUGACUGAUGCAGGAUUUCACAAGGGUCGGCAACGAUUCUUGUUAAACUCGAUCUCGAAUCAAGUAAGACUACCCGCUGAACUUAAGCAUAUCAAUAAGCGGAGGAAAAGAAACUAACAAGGAUUCCCCUAGUAACGGCGAGUGAAGCGGGAUGAGCUCAAAUUUAAAAUCUGGCUGGUUUACUAGUCCGAAUUGUAGUUUAUAGAAGCGUUUUCGGUGGCAGCCUGGGUAUAAAUCCUUUGGAAUAGGGUAUCAUAGAGGGUGAGAAUCCCGUCUUUGACUCAGUGCAUGCUACUAUGUGAUACGUUUUCAAAGAGUCGAGUUGUUUGGGAAU